AAAAAUGUUUAAAUAAAUAAAUAAACUAUUUUGCUAACAAUGGAUAUAGCUUAGGAGCCAGACCUUAAGUUACAACAGCUUAGGCAUGCACAAGAGAAACAUACACAAGCCCAAAAUGAAGAAGGACCCUUAAUCUUUGUCCCUCAAGUUGCUGCAGACAUGCCAUAGUCCUGCCUUCCAAAAGCACCAUUUUAGCCGCACAUGUCAAAUGAGAGCUAAGAUAAGGAGUUACCUGGCAGAAUGAGAAAAAUGUCUUCCUUCAAUUAAAGCACAAGUAAAAAAGAGAAAGAAAAAAGGAAGAAGAAGAAAAGGAAUCCUAUCCAUUCAGUACACCUAGGGAGUCAUUGAUAAUAGGGCCCAGGCUUCUAACUUAAUAGCAGCCAUCAACCUGAGAGCCUUCCACCUUUUCUCAGCAAAAAUUUCUUUCAUGCAGCUUUAGCCACAGGGAGCAGAAUAUUUUCACUGUUUGUGCUACUAGAAGCCAGAGAAGUGUCUUCAGGUCCCUACAACUGUUUGGAGCUGUCAAGGCUGGCAGACAAAUCAAAAAGGAUCAAGUCAAGCCUGUCAUAACUGCACCUUAAUGACUUCACAAGGUGUAGGACUCUCACCUGCCCCAAAUGUCAAACAACAAUCCCCAGAGAAUGUUCAGAUUCCAGAGAUACCUCCCUAGAGCCUUGACAUAAUUUAUCUAACAUGCUUGAAAUGGGCUUUAAAUGUUAUCAGAUUAAAGGUCUUGGUUCCUAAAAUAUCUCUGCGAGAAUCAUCUUCAAAUUCCUGGUGGCAGUCUUCAGGUACAGCCUCCAUCUAACCUACUGGAGAUCCAGCCUGCAGGACUGUUGGAGAUAAUUGGUCUUUCCUUCAGAGGAUCUUUAGAUCCAUUAUAAUCAUCACGCCAUGGGUUAGAGGCCACCGUUCAUGUACUGUUAUGGCACUUUGUUAUGUGACAUUCACGUGGUUUCCUUGGGCCUGACGACAAGGCCUACAUUUAGCCUGAGUUGGCACUUCAGCAAUUAAGAUUUCUAAUGACUGUACAAAAAUUUUCACAGUCUUUUCACAGCCCUAUAAUCUCAGAGGUCCAGUCGCUUGAACAAAAAUGGUAAUCUGGUUUUCGGUAUCUUGGAUGAAAGGGAGCAGAAACUCAACUGUGGGUUUACUAAAAAGUUUCCCACACAGAACACUCAAAAUGAAAAGAAGGUUGUAUUUAGAUUUAGUCUGAUGCUAAUGCCUGUGACCAGGGUCACCCCUGGAGCUUAUUAUCACAAUUCCACAUACAGCCACAGCCCCAUGCCGUGGUGGCUGUCCACACAGAACCCUGAAGUCUGCAGAGAACACACACCGCCCCACAGCCACCUUCUCAAAUGUGGCAUCAGGUGUUUCAGGUGUUUAAGAAGACGAAGUUAAACCUCUGUGGAGGGCUUGCUCACCUUUUUUUUUUUUUUUUUUUUUUUUUUCAGGAAAAUUAUCUGCUUUCCAGGACUAGUAUUUUUCAUAUGAUAUCUGUCUACUUGUAUCACUUUAAUUAUGCCACUGUAACCUCUGCAGCAUAAUACAUUUAUGAUCUAGAAGCCAGUCCCAAAAACAAUAAAAAAAAUUUUUUUAAAUAAGAUAAUUCCAUUCUCUUCUCUCUUUGAAGACACAUCUAUUUUUUUUUUUUUGACACAUCUAUUUAAAGACAAUACUAGCAAAUACUCCUUAAUAAAAAAAUUUCCUAUCUCUGGUGAUUUGGGUUUCAUACAUGAAACCUUUAAGUAUUAUUGCCUAGCAAAGUGAGAGAACAAAUCAAAAUGUACUACAUGCUGCAUUCAACCUCUCUGGCAAUGUCUAUUAUAAAAAAGAAAGAAAAAAGGUCUAAGGAUAAUACAAUGAAAUAAGUACCACUUUAAAAAAUAAUAAACAGGGGCACCUAGGUAGCUUAGUGAUUGAGAGUCUUCAGCUCAGGUCGUGGUCCCGGGGUCCUGGGGUCGAUUUCCACAUUCAUCUCCCCAGGAGGAGCCUGCUUCUGC
rnacentral:lncRNA from 1 species